rnacentral:rRNA from 1 species
ACGCACGCUGGCGGCGUGCUUAACAUAUGCCAGUCGAACGGAAAGGCCCUGCUUUUGUGGGGUGCUCGAGUGGCGAACGGGUGAGUAACACGUGAGUAACCUGCCCUUGACUUUGGGAUAACUUCAGGAAACUGGGGCUAAUACCGGAUAGGAGCUCCUGCUGCAUGGUGGGGGUUGGAAAGUUUCGGCGGUUGGGGAUGGACUCGCGGCUUAUCAGCUUGUUGGUGGGGUAGUGGCUUACCAAGGCUUUGACGGGUAGCCGGCCUGAGAGGGUGACCGGCCACAUUGGGACUGAGAUACGGCCCAGACUCCUACGGGAGGCAGCAGUGGGGAAUAUUGCACAAUGGGCGGAAGCCUGAUGCAGCAACGCCGCGUGCGGGAUGACGGCCUUCGGGUUGUAAACCGCUUUCGCCUGUGACGAAGCGUGAGUGACGGUAAUGGGUAAAGAAGCACCGGCUAACUACGUG